AACCAACAGAAAGAGAAAAAAUAUUUUCAAACCAUGUAUCUGAUAAGGGUCUAGUAUCCAGAAUAUAUAAAGCACCAUUACAACUCAAUAAAUAGAUAUUCUAAGAUUCUUACCCCCAAGGACUUAUCAGGGGUUACAGAUUAACACUCAGUGUAAGAUGAUAAGGCAGUUAAGGAUACAUCAGAACCGAAAACUAUGUGAAGGAGUUAGAAGGAGUAGAUGCUUUCACGCAUCUUUCUUAAAUAAAUAACUCUUUAUCAAUAAAUAUGAAUUUGAGUUAUUUGUUACAGAGGCAAAACAAUAAGCAUGCCAAAUUAUAUAGGGUUUUUUUUUCUAACCAUAGAAAUUAUACAGAUCUGUUGAUGGAAAUAAAAUUUUGCCAUUACUGUUAAUCCCAGGCUCACAAGAUCUUCAACUACAGUUGAACAAAAGAUAUGGACAUAUUCAGCCGCAUAGUUCUUAUUCCGAUCCACAAUGUUAUAGCAAAGACCAUAGUAUUAAAUCAUAAAUAUAUGCCAUAAGGAAGUUGCUCCCCUUACAACUUUAAAGCAAGCCAGUAUUACCUCUAGUUUGUAGAUGUGGAACAUGUCUUGGUCAUCCAGUGAGCAGUGGAGUCAAGCAGAACCCAGGCCUUUGGUCCGUGCCUGUAUGGAACAAGAGAUGUGGUCUCAUGGGAUAACUGGCCAGGACAUAAACCAUAACAGAAGCGCCAGCCUGAUGACCUCUGAAGUUUGAUUCCCAGAGCCACAGGGUGAUCUGGAGUUUGUUUCAAGACUCUUGUACUUUCUGUGUUUCACUGGAGGGCUGUACUUAGCUUUCCCUGCUCACUUUAGCCACCUACAUCUGGGCACCAAUAUCAAAAAAAUAACUUUGGAAAAAUUGGGCAGGCUUCUUGUGGAGCUCUGCUACUGUAGAGGGGGAAUUUAUAUAUUUCCGAAGAGUAGAUGAUUUAGAGCAGGAAGGAUUCUACUUUCCCAGAUCAUGUUACCAAAGCAAGGGUCAAUAAAAGGCAUCUUCAAGACCUGAAAAUCUUCAAGGUUCUCAUAAUUGAAGACUUUUUUUUCCCCCUUCACUGUCCACCUUUUUUCUUGGCAGAUAACCGCUUACCCUUAGGGCAUGUUUUCUUCUGUGGGACUGUAAACUACCAGAAACCAUGCUAGAUACUUUAACUACUUAUACUCAUUAGCUCUUCCUUGCAAAUCUGUGAAGUAAAGUGCUAGCACCAGCACCAUUUUUCAGAUGAGAAAACUAAGGCUUGCAGAGAGUGAACAAUUUGCCCAAGGUCACCACUGAUAAGUAGUAAAGAAAGGAUAUAAACUCAGCUCAGUGUGUCGCAGAGUUCAUCUCUCUCCAUUGUACAGUUACAUUCCCAACCAACAUGCUGGGGCUGCCAUGCCAGGAUUACUCCACUCUGUUGCUUUUUAUUAAAAAAUUAUGUUACAUAUUUUAUUACACAAUUAUUUUACAUAAAAUAAAAUGUACAGAUCAAUGAGUUUUGACAGAUGUAUAUAUAUAUCAUUGUAAUCAUCAGCCAAAUAAAGUUAUAGACUCUACCAACAUUUCUGAAAGUUUCUUUAAUUACUUCUAGUCCAGAAUCCCCUCC
rnacentral:lncRNA from 10 species